UCAAAAGAAUCGCGUUUUUCCCCGGCACAUCUCUGCUUCAUGCAGAUAAAAGCGCGCAAUCACCUCUGAUCUUUCAUACCUCGUAGAUUGUCUUAAGGUUUGCGUUUGAAAACCAUUAACUUGAGAAAGUGAAGUAUCAGACACCAGAGAAUUUUCGAGGUGGACAAUACGUGACAAUUUUCUUCAAAACGAUAUAUUCUCCAACUUAACACCUCCAGCGAAAAACCAAACAUACUUUCAUUAUCCAGCCAUUUCGACGGUGCCGGCCCAUCAAGUUGUCCACUAGUUUCGACCCAAUUUCAAAUCUCUGCGAACAGGCUGAUUAGAUGGGAACUUUCAUGAUUUUUUUUUUCCUGCGUUAAUGAGAAUAGGGGUAAGUUCCCUUAAAUUCCUUAACGAAGGUAACUCUUUCGCUAAACAAGUAGCACGUAUUUACUUUUCCACAUUAUAAGGAAAUUAUCGGCUGUUAUAACUGUUCUAAACAUUAAAAAUAUCUUAGGUUAAUUAUUUCAAUAACAACAACAA